GACGUUUCUCCUCACCCUCCCCACCAGGUUGCAGGAAACACACACGCAAUCGUUUUACACACAGGACGGACGGUCAAGUGCGUGUGGUCCUCGUCAUCACCCAUAAGACCGUCUGCUGGCAUCAGGCAAGCAGGAUCACAACACCUCACUUUUCCAGUGAAAUAAUCCAUUCAUCAAGGAGAAAUUGAAUCGGAAAGGUAACACGUGUGGCAUGCAUCAAGUGAGUUCUCUGGUUAGGGUCUCACAAGGCUGAAAUCAAGGUGUCAGUGGGCCUGGGACCUUACCUGGAGGCUCCGGGGAAAAAGCAGCUGCCAAGCUCAUUCAUCCAGGAAUUGGCUCCCAUGUUUGUGGAGGCUGACAAGACCCAAGACCUGCACGUGGCAAGGUGGAGACCCAGGAGAGCUGAUGGUGUAGUUCCAGUCCGAGUCCAAAGGCCUGAGAACCAGGAGAGCCAGUGGUGUAAGUUCCAGUCCCGAAGUUGCUGGCAUCGUCUCAAGAAGAUGCGCUUUUUCAGUUCAAGUCCGCAGGCAGGGAAAGACCAGUGUCCCCCCUCAAGCAGUCAGGCUUGAGUCCCUCCUGCUUGAGGGAAGGUCAGCUUUUUUUGUCCUAUUCAGGCUUUCGAGUGAUUGCCAUGGGACACUCCCACUAGAGGGCCACCUGCUUUACUCAGUCUACCUAUCCAAAUGGUGAUCUCAUCUAAAACUCCCUCACAGACACACUCACAAUAAUGGUCGACCUAAUAUCUGGGCAUCCUCCGUGGGCCAGUCACGUCGACACAUAAUAUCACACAUCACUCCAGGCACCUUGACACAGUCCAUAAUUUAACAUUUAUUUAAAAAUUCCUAUUCUAUCUCAGUUAACUGUUCGGUUUCCCAGCUUCGUCGCCUAUAAGACGGAGUUGUGAAUAAUUUCACUUUGUUCGUUGCAUUUAAACUAAUUACCUUUAAGGUUAUAUGUGUGAAAGGGAAAAACGGAUCAGGAAGCAGCUUACAUUCUUUACCGUAUAGGAGAAUUCUGCAUCAUGUGGCAUGCAGAUUUAAUAAUACCUAAUAUUUAUGAAAUAUUUGCCAUAUUUAGCAAGUCCUUUUGUAAGCUCUUUAAAUGCUUUACCUCAUUUGUUCAGCAAAACACCAUGAGAUACAUGCCAUUGUUAGUCCCCUUUCCGUAUGAAGAAACUGAAGCACAGAAGUUAAGUAAUUUGUCCAAGAUGACAGCUGGUAAGUGGCAGGCCCAGGAUUGGAAUCUAUGGCUUCAGAACCAAUGUCCCUAACUAAUUAGUGUGACCAUAUAAUUUGUCAUCCACACCAGCAUGAGAGCACUAUUAAAAAUUAUACCUCAGUGGGCAUAAAACAGGAAAGACUUACACGUAUGAAGACACUGCUCACUCUGUUAGUGAACAUUCUUUGGGUUGCAAGUAGCAGAAAAUUCUUUCCUAGAUUGGCUCAAUUCAAAAGGAAGUUCAUGAUCUCAGAGUAUUUGCAACAUCAGCAUCACUUUUCCUCCCUCUGCUCGAUUAUUCCUGUCAGCAUACAAACUGGUGUUGUUAUUUUUAUUAUUAUUAUUAUUAAAAAACAAAC